AUUCCAUGAUGAAGGCACUUUCGUAAAAAUUCUUUGUACCUUUCCCAUGCUUCUACAAGGACUUAUCAUCCAUUUGUUGGAAAGCAGUGAUCUCAUUCCUCAACUU
rfam:Gossypium arboreum cultivar AKA8401 contig_28590_1, whole genome shotgun sequence.